CUAAAUCUCUUUGCCAUUUGGCUUAGAUCAAGUGUAGUAUCUGUUCUUUUCAGUGUAACAGCUGAAACGUCAUCAUUGAUGACAUUUACAUUUUUACCCUAUUUUUGGAUCUCAGGUGGUAAAGCUUGAUGGGCUUGCUCACACUUUACCACACAGUGUCGUUACCAUUGCACCUUCGGUUUCUGACGCGAACUUCA
rfam:Clavispora lusitaniae ATCC 42720 cont1.5, whole genome shotgun sequence.